rnacentral:rRNA from 1 species
GGACGGGAUUGUGGAGCUUGCUUCACAUGAGAGUGGCGCACGGGUGCGUAACACGUAUGUAACCUACCCAUAUCAGGGGGAUAGCCUCUCGAAAGAGAGAUUAAGCCCGCAUAAAAUCACACACUGGCAUCAGUAAAUGAUCAAAUAUUUAUAGGAUAUGGAUGGGCAUGCGGAACAUUAGCUAGUUGGCGAGGUAACGGCUCACCAAGGCUACGAUGUUUAGGGGAUCUGAGAGGAUGACCCCCCACACUGGUACUGAGACACGGACCAGACUCCUACGGGAGGCAGCAGUAAGGAAUAUUGGUCAAUGGGCGGAAGCCUGAACCAGCCAUGCCGCGUGCAGGAAGACGGCCCUACGGGUUGUAAACUGCUUUUAUACGGGAAUAAACCCACCUACGUGUAGGUGGCUGAAUGUACUGUAAGAAUAAGGAUCGGCUAACUCCGUG